GAUGAACGCUGGCGGCGUGCCUAAUACAUGCAAGUCGAGCGAACAGACGAGGAGCUUGCUCCUCUGACGUUAGCGGCGGACGGGUGAGUAACACGUGGAUAACCUACCUAUAAGACUGGGAUAACUUCGGGAAACCGGCGCUAAUACCGGAUAAUAUAUUGAACCGCAUGGUUCAAUAGUGAAAGACGGUUUUGCUGUCACUUAUAGCUGGAUCCACGCCGCAUUAGCUAGUUGGUAAGGUAACGGCUUACCAAGGCAACGAUGCGUAGCCGACCUGAGAGGGUGAUCGGCCACACUGGAACUGAGACACGGUCCAGACUCCUAAGGGAGGCAGCAGUAGGGAAUCUUCCGCAAUGGGCGAAAGCCUGACGGAGCAACGCCGCGUGAGUGAUGAAGGUCUUCGGAUCGUAAAACUCUGUUAUUAGGGAAGAACAAAUGUGUAAGUAACUAUGCACGUCUUGACGGUACCUAAUCAGAAAGCCACGGCUAACUACGUG
rnacentral:rRNA from 1 species